AGUGGUAGGGUGGGGGCAGGGGUGUAUAUCCCAGAUUUCAAUGUUUGAGUAUGUAAGCGGUUAACUGAUUGUGUCAGUUUAUGCAGCCGAGUUGAUGGCCAUAAUUAUAGGUUUGAAAUGGGUGGAGGAGGUGAAACCACUCAGAGUGGUGAUCUGCUCUGAUUCGACUGCAGUGUUGAGUAGUGUGAAGACGAGCAGGUCGGAUAGUGGAGACUUGUUUGUGUAAAUGAUGGUGCUGUUAAUGGGAUGGGAGUGGUGAUAAGCUUUUGCUGGGUUCCCGCCAACGUGGGUGUGGAGGGUAAUUAGAAGGCUGAUGUGAUGACUAAGAGGGCAGUGAGGAGAGAGGGGGUAGAUAUUCAGUUCCCGUUGGGCCGUAGGGAAGUCAAGUCCUUGAUUCGGGCAAAAGGGCUCGAUCUUUGUCAAAGGAAGUGGUAUGCUAGUAGUAAGGGGAGGCAAUUUUAUCGCAUUCACCGGUCAGUUAAGGAAGAGGUGGGCAGUAUGGGAUGUAGGAGAGAGGAAGUUGUGUGGAGUGGACUGCGGUUUGGACACACCAGGUUUGAAUGCCACGUUGUGGAUGAUAAGGAGACAUGAAACAGAUACUAAUGACGACAUGGUCCUGAAAGCUCAGGAGACUGCUGAGGGGAGGACAGCUCAUAAUAAUGGCUGCAAUGAAGUGAAUGGAAUGGUAUCAAACACUUUUUCGAUACCUUUCCAUUAAUUCCGUUCCAGCCAUUACUAUUACCAAAUAAGGUGCGACCAACCUCGUGACCCUGAAAGUAUUUCUCCCACCACCAGUUUCCCGUGUGCAGAUACGAAAGACGACCUGAUCUUGAGACUGAUUCUCCCACCACAAGUAACGAGUUGGAAAAAAGACUGCCUGCCCAAGCUUUGAUGAGGCCUGAAAGUCAUAUUGUACCGUUGCAACCAAUAUGGCUGAAUAUCUUCGCCAGGCGACCAAAAGGACAAGAGGAACCGAACCCUUUGCUCUGACUCUCGUGUGACAAUCACCCCUACUCCAUGGCAUUCACUAUCAUGAGCAGGCUCUGGAGCAGAGGACAUUAUGUUUAGCUGUUUUACAAGAAUUCAUAUGGAAAAUGGAUACCUGGUAGGGGUUUGGGGGAGUAAAGGGUAAAGUGUUUACUUUUCUUCACCCCCUUUCCUCAGCUUUAAUUGCUGGGGCUCCUGUGAUUUUUGAAAUGAUGGAUUGUGCUAAAGUUUUUAUUUGUGUGUUCCUUAUUUGUUUAUCCUUUGCAUGACUUCACUUUGGAGCUGAAAUGAAUCAUUCAAAAUACACAUUUUGUAUUUUAUCUA